rnacentral:rRNA from 1 species
UACGUAGGGUGCAAGCGUUAAUCGGAAUUACUGGGCGUAAAGCGUGCGUAGACGGUUAUUUAAGUCGGGUGUGAAAGCCCCGGGCUCAACCUGGGAAUUGCAUUCGAGACUGAAUAGCUAGGGUACGGUAGAGGGAAGCGGAAUUUCCGGUGUAGCGGUGAAAUGCGUAGAUAUCGGAAGGAACAUCAGUGGCGAAAGCGGCUUCCUGGACCAGUACCGACGUCAGGCACGAAAGCGUGGGGAGCAAACAGG